UACGUAGGUGGCAAGCGUUGUCCGGAAUUAUUGGGCCUAAAGCAUCCGUAGCCGGUUCUACAAGUCUUCCGUUAAAUCCAACUGCUUAACAGGUGGGCUGCGGAAGAUACUAUAGAGCUAGGAGGCGGGAGAGGCAAGCGGUACUCGAUGGGUAGGGGUAAAAUCCGUUGAUCCAUUGAAGACCACCAGUGGCGAAGGCGGCUUGCCAGAACGCGCUCGACGGUGAGGGAUGAAAGCUGGGGGAGCAAACCGG
rnacentral:rRNA from 1 species